rnacentral:rRNA from 1 species
UGGGGAAUAUUGCGCAAUGGGCGAAAGCCUGACGCAGCGACGCCGCGUGAGGGAUGAAGGUCCUCGGAUCGUAAACCUCUGUCAGAAGGGAAGAAGUUGACCAAUGCUAAUCAGCUGGUCAUUGACGGUACCUUCAAAGGAAGCACCGGCUAACUCCGUGCCAGCAGCCGCGGUAAUACGGAGGGUGCGAGCGUUAAUCGGAAUUACUGGGCGUAAAGCGCGCGUAGGCGGUAUGUCAAGUCAAGGGUGAAAUCCCCGGGCUCAACCGGCAAGACUGCCUUUGAAACUGUCAAACUGGAGUGUGUGAGAGGGUGGCGGAAUUCCAGGUGUAGGAGUGAAAUCCGUAGAUAUCUGGAGGAACACCAGUGGCGAAGGCGGCCACCUGGCACAUAACUGACGCUGAGGUGCGAAGCGUGGGGUAGCAAACAGGAUUAGAUACCC